rnacentral:rRNA from 1 species
GACGAACGCUGGCGGCAUGCCUAACACACGCAAGUCGAGCGAGCAGAUCCCUUCGGGGUGAAGCUAGCGGCGGACGGGUGAGUAACACGUGGGCAACCUGCCUCAUAGAGGGGAAUAGCCUUCCGAAAGGAAGAUUAAUACCGCAUAAGAUUGUGGCUUCGCAUGAAGCAGCAAUUAAAGGAGCAAUCCGCUAUGAGAUGGGCCCGCGGCGCAUUAGCUAGUUGGUUAGGUAACGGCUCACCAAGGCGACGAUGCGUAGCCGACCUGAGAGGGUGAUCGGCCACAUUGGGACUGAGACACGGCCCAGACUCCUACGGGAGGCAGCAGUGGGGAAUAUUGCACAAUGGGGGAAACCCUGAUGCAGCAAUGCCGCGUGAGUGAUGACGGCCUUCGGGUUGUAAAGCUCUGUCUUCGGGGACGAUAAUGACGGUACCCGAGGAGGAAGCCACGGCUAACUACGUGCCAGCCGCCGCAGUAA